rnacentral:rRNA from 1 species
UCGAGGGGCAGCAUAGGACUUCGGUUCUGAUGGCGACCGGCGCACGGGUGAGUAACGCGUACACUACCUACCUUUAACAGAGGGAUAGCCCUGGGAAACUGGGAUUAAUACCACAUAGUAUUGCAUAUUUUAUUUUUAUGCAAUUAAAGCUCCGGCGGUUAAAGAUGGGUGUGCGUUAGAUUAGCUAGUUGGUAAGGUAAUGGCUUACCAAGGCUACGAUCUAUAGGGGGCGUGAGAGCGUGGACCCCCACACGGGUACUGAGACACGGACCCGACUCCUACGGGAGGCA